UGACACACACACACACACACGACCCUGGGGGACUACAUCCCUGGGCUCCAAAAAGGAUGCACAGUGCAGUGCUGUCUGGUCGGGAUUGUGUUUCUCCGGAUCUCUCAAGAGCAGCCAGAGGAUUUUAUCUUUCAGUCUCAGCACUGAGACUUGUCUGCUCCUUAGAAAUCACUCUCUAAAGAUCAGCCACUUUCUCUCAGGUGUGGAUUUAAAGGUGUACAGGCUUUUGAAUUUUGAGGAAUUGGCAAUUGCUGCAACAGAGGGAGGUCCAUCAAGUGGUCCACCAAGACCCUCAGCUAUUGUCAAGGGGUCUGUGGAGGAAACAAAAGUUUGGGAACCACCGCAGUUCAUCUUUCACAAUGAGUCAUCUUUGUCUGAAAAUCCAUGCUAUUGUACUCAAAGUGGACUUGCAACUGAUACAGAUUCAGCAACAUAACAAUGGGACAUUUGUGAUAAAAGUGUAGAGGAAUAAAUCACCUGGACAGAACAAUUUCAAUCAUCGGUGUUCCAUUCUUUAACCAUUCAUUACAAACUAAAAGCACCACAAUGACAGCAAUAAAUAGUUACAACGCAGUUGCCCAACCUUGCAAAAAUCACCAGAAAAACUCAGCAAACCACAACAAUACAAAUAAAUUAAGCUCUCAGGUAUAAUGGAUGCAAUAAGGAUGAUAACAUGCGAACCUUGAAAACUAACAAGCAGUGCAGCGUGAUGUCACUCAGACUUUCUACCACCUAAUGGCUGCUUCCUCUUU